rnacentral:rRNA from 1 species
AUUGAACGCUGGCGGCAGGCCUAACACAUGCAAGUCGAGCGAGCGGCGGACGGGUGAGUAAUGUAUGGGGAUCUGCCCGAUAGAGGGGGAUAACUACUGGAAACGGUGGCUAAUACCGCAUACUAUCAGAUGCGCCUAGGUGGGAUUAGCUAGUUGGUGGGGUAAAGGCCUACCAAGGCGACGAUCCCUAGCUGGUCUGAGAGGAUGAUCAGCCACACUGGAACUGAGACACGGUCCAGACUCCUACGGGAGGCAGCAGUGGGGAAUAUUGCACAAUGGGCGCAAGCCUGAUGCAGCCAUGCCGCGUGUAUGAAGAAGGCCUUCGGGUUGUAAAGUACUUUCAGCGGGGAGGCGUUACCCGCAGAAGAAGCACCGGCUAACUCCGUGCCAGCAGCCGCGGUAAUUC